UCUUCUGGGUGAUAGGCUGCUUCCUGAGAUGGAGUGUUCUAUAGCCAGGGACCCACAUCACCAGUUGGAGGAAGUUGCAGAGACGGUGGAUUCUAUUGGUGCAGUGACUGUUUAUCCAGAAAAAUAGUGGUUGUUCAGUCAACGUUGCAAGGUUGCCUUUUUGGGACUUUAUUCCAUAUAUCCAAAGCACACUGGAUGUGGCAGGUCUGAAGAAGCAGAACAGGGAUGGGUUCAUUCAUCACCUAUGCUGACCCAAAGGGGAAAAAAAAGUGCAGUCUAUGUGAUGGGGGAUGCAGCCGCAGCCUUGGGUCACCAUUUGCUUUCCUGACUGGUGAAUUGCUGGAGCUACCUGAAAGCCCAGUUGUAAGAGGAAUAGUGUUUUCCACAUCGAGUCACCGGAUGGGGAUUGCAAAGAACUCAUUAUCAGCCCUGCAUUUGACUUUGUUUGAUUUUUUGGACUGCAGUCCCUACCUGCAAACUGGAAAUCGCCUCUGUGAAGUGCAUGUCAGUAUCAGCUCCUGCACUGAAUCUAUGAGGAAACACGACAGGAAACAGCUGCAGGUGGCUUGGUCAGUCUGGGUAGGUGGUUCUCCCAUGGUCACCUCACCAGAACUGGAUCCAAUCCUAACAAAAUAGAAAUGGUGCAGUCAGACUGCUCCUUUUCCUCUUUUCUCUGGAUAUAUUAUUGCAACACACAUUUUUAUUCUUGAUGAAGUGCGUAUCUUCCUUCUGUUUCCCAAGAUGUGUUCAUUUCCUACCUACAAAUCUGUACUUUCUCUUUUAGAGAAAAAUUGUGUUCCCUAGGAUUUUUUCCUUGCAAAUCUGUCUUAAUCUAUAGCUGCCUACAACAUGAACUGUUCCUACUGUACUACCCUGAACUCUUAGACUGAAUCCUGUCGUCUAAUUGUGGCUGCCCCAGUUCAAUUGCUGUUUGUUACUGUGGGUGCAUCUCUUGAUUGUUGCUGCACUGAGAUCACGCAUGAUGUUUUUGCUUUUUCACCUAACGGUUGGGAAAAGCAUUGUUUUCUCUUCUGUCAAGACUUAUAUCCUGCUUAGCAUUUGCCUAUCACUCCUCUGUUCUAGGAAAUGUAAUAUGAAUCUUCCUCUCCUGUGUAUUUUCUUCAGCCUGAGCACCAGAGACGUCUGAGUCACAACAGAUCUAUGAUAAAAUUUUUGGUUUCU
rnacentral:lncRNA from 1 species